GAUGAACGCUGGCGGCGUGCCUAAUACAUGCAAGUCGAGCGAACGGACGAGAAGCUUGCUUCUCUGAUGUUAGCGGCGGACGGGUGAGUAACACGUGGAUAACCUACCUAUAAGACUGGGAUAACUUCGGGAAGCCGGAGCUAAUACCGGAUAAUAUUUUGAACCGCAUGGUUCAAAAGUGAAAGACGGUCUUGCUGUCACUUAUAGAUGGAUCCGCGCUGCAUUAGCUAGUUGGUAAGGUAACGGCUUACCAAGGCAACGAUGCAUAGCCGACCUGAGAGGGUGAUCGGCCACACUGGAACUGAGACACGGUCCAGACUCCUACGGGAGGCAGCAGUAGGGAAUCUUCCGCAAUGGGCGAAAGCCUGACGGAGCAACGCCGCGUGAGUGAUGAAGGUCUUCGGAUCGUAAAACUCUGCUAUUAGGGAAGAACAUAUGUGUAAGUAACUGUGCACAUCUUGACGGUACCUAAUCAGAAAGCCACGGCUAACUACGUG
rnacentral:rRNA from 1 species